UACGUAGGGUGCGAGCGUUAAUCGGAAUUACUGGGCGUAAAGCGUGCGCAGGCGGUUUUGUAAGACAGAUGUGAAAUCCCCGGGCUUAACCUGGGAACUGCAUUUGUGACUGCAAGACUAGAGUACGGCAGAGGGGGGUAGAAUUCCACGUGUAGCAGUGAAAUGCGUAGAUAUGUGGAGGAAUACCGAUGGCGAAGGCAGCCCCCUGGGUCGAUACUGACGCUCAUGCACGAAAGCGUGGGGAGCAAACAGG
rnacentral:rRNA from 2 species